CCACCGAAAGGGCAAACUCACCCGAAAGGGGAGGGCGCAAAGUCUCCGGCCUACAGCCUUCGGGCCAGGGUAGCGGGAUUGCCGAA
rnacentral:ncRNA from 1 species